rnacentral:lncRNA from 1 species
UGCAGUGCCUUUACCAAAAGAUGACACCAUCUUCAUUACUGUGCUGGAAUUCACUCAACCUCUUUAAUUCCAGGGACAGAAACCCAACCUUUCCUGCUCAUCCACUCCUGGGAAUGAGGAUCUGAGUUGAGUGAGAGAUAAUGAAUGGAUACAAUCUGCUUCCCCCUACAAGACUGAAUGAAUCUGGCUGAUCAGCCUCCAGCAAAUAGCUGGGGAUGCUGCCUGGGGUAUCCAGACUCAGAAUUAAUACUGAAGCAGUGACUGGAUGGGCAAGUGCUCAACGAUGUCUUAUUAGCAAGCAGGAACUCUGCCAACAUGUGAAGAGGAAAAAAACACAACUGGUCAUCAAGUUUGCCUUCAGUAUCUGAACACCUCAGAUUUUAAUUGCCUUCCUCUGGAUUUGUGAACAGCGAUGUGCUUGUGGCCACAGGUCAGUAGCUGUUAUUAUUACACUUGCUGAUGAUAAAUGAAGUGUUGUGCUCUCUUCUUAUUAGAAAGGGUUGUUUUAUCUUAAAUGUAGAUUGCAGCAAAGCAGAUGGCAAGCAGCAGUUAUAGGUUUUACUUUAGGGAGGCACAGGCAGCCUUGGCUUGAAUAAUGAGUGGAGCUACAGUAUGUUUCAUCAGUAUUCAUCAUCUGCCUACACCAAAGGUGACACACAGGCCCAUGGGUAGCACACCUUACUGCAGCUUUGUCUGAAAUGGCUGCAGUAGUGGGACGUGCAUAUGAAUAUGCAGCUUAAAAGGAAAAAAAUAAAUAAAAAUUGGUGGUUUGUGGGAAUGGGUCA